UUGACAGUUUGUGUUUUCUUUCAUCUCUGGAACUUCUUACUAAAUCUUCUUUUUUGGUGCAGCUUGAACUUUGUUUCUAUAAUUACUUAAAAUGAUGUGGGAACUUAAAAGGUGCAGCGUGAACUUUGUUUCUAUAAUUAAAAAGCUUUGCAUCCCAGGUCUUGAAUCUUUAGUAUUUGAGAAUCAAAUGAUUGCAUUUGAAUAUAUGUGGCUCAUGGGCCAUCAUAUCUGUAGACGUGCCUUUGCCGUAAGACAAUAUUUAGUUGAUUCAUCUUUCCUCCCUAACAAACAUAAUACAAGCCAAUUGUUUCAUGUCUCCUUGACCUGAAACAUGCAAAUAAAACAUGUUUGCUGGACCACAUUUCUGACUUUGCAUAAUGUAAGUUACGUUGGAGAGCUCUUUAGUCUUAACACAGAAAACAAGUAACAUAACAGAACAUAAGAAAUCUAUGCAAUAGAAACAAUUUGCUAAAAAAAUAUAGUAAAAAUUGCUUGUGGCUGCUGCCACAGUUAUCAAUCGUUUAUGAUGGAACCGCUUCUCCAUCACAUAACAGGUGACUAUAGACAUGGAUAAGACACCCCAGGCAGACUCUGUACAUAUCCUAUUAAAAACUAGUAGAAGAGGAGGCGUGCAUUUAGAACGGUGUGUGAGACAAUAUGUGUCAAUCAAGUUUUAGUUCAUAAAUUGGGUUCUUAGAUUGAGCUAGUGGCUAUGCAUUGCAUCAUGAAUAGUAGAUGUUCUUGUUAUGUGCUAAACACACGCAUGUAAAGAACAUUGCCCGUUGAAACAAAUUUUAUAUUCAGCAUUUAGCAACUUCCAUGCUGUUCUGUAUAUGCUGUCUAAUUCUAUUUAUUUUCUUCAAAUGUAGAACUCAAGCCAGCUGAUACUUAGAUCGCUUGUCUUUCGGUGCUAUUGGUGUCUGCUUGCUUUUAAUCUGUUUCAUGAGGUUGACUUGAUGCUCUCCAAUGGUGCACUCGUUGCACCCUCUACUCUCUCCUUGUCUAUAAACCAAUUAAUUAGCUAGAUAAAUCAAAUUGAUUGAUAUUUACCUCUCUUGGGCCCGGAUGAUUGAUGAUGAAUGAUGUUAGGGCUCGAAAGCAGCUAGAGGCUCACGGAGAAUUUCAGUGGUUUUUCUAGCAUAACUUGAUCCCACACCAUCAACAAUAUCUUCAAAUGGCUCAGUACUGCUAGUAGGGAUGGCCCGUUAGAGAUUGGAGGAUGGGGUGCCGCAGGUUUUGAUGCCCAAAAAAUCUGGAUUACUAUCAAUUUACAGGUCGUUAAAUCAACCUGAUAAAUUAUUUUUUUAAUAAAACCAUGUCUUUUUGUUUCUGUAAAAAAA